AUUGAACGCUGGCGGAAUGCUUUACACAUGCAAGUCGAACGGCAGCACGGGGGCAGCCCUGGUGGCGAGUGGCGAACGGGUGAGUAAUACAUCGGAACGUGCCCGGUCGUGGGGGAUAACGUAGCGAAAGUUACGCUAAUACCGCAUACGAUCUGAGGAUGAAAGCGGGGGACCUUCGGGCCUCGCGCGAUCGGAGCGGCCGAUGUCAGAUUAGGUAGUUGGUGGGGUAAAGGCCUACCAAGCCGACGAUCUGUAGCUGGUCUGAGAGGACGACCAGCCACACUGGGACUGAGACACGGCCCAGACUCCUACGGGAGGCAGCAGUGGGGAAUGUUGGACAAUGGGCGCAAGCCUGAUCCAGCCAUUCCGCGUGAAGGACGAAGGCCUUCGGGUUGUAAACUGCUUUUGUACGGAACGAAAAGGCUCUGGCUAAUACCUGGGGCUCAUGACGGUACCGUAAGAAUAAGCACCGGCUAACUACGUG
rnacentral:rRNA from 1 species